rnacentral:rRNA from 1 species
UAGGGAAUAUUGGUCAAUGGGCGAAAGCCUGAACCAGCAACGCCGCGUGCGCGAUGAAGGCCUUCGGGUCGUAAAGCGCUUUUGGGAGGGAUGAAAAUGACAGUACCUCCCGAAUAAGGAUCGGCUAACUACGUGCCAGCAGCCGCGGUAAGACGUAGGAUCCAAGCGUUAUCCGGAAUUACUGGGCGUAAAGGGCGUGUAGGAGGUUGGGCAAGUCGGCCAUGAAAGCUCCCGGCUCAACUGGGAGAGGCUGGUCGAUACUGCCUGGCUAGAGGGCAAGAGAGGGAGGUGGAAUUCCCGGUGUAGUGGUGAAAUGCGUAGAUAUCGGGAGGAACACCAGUGGCGAAGGCGGCCUCCUGGCUUGUACCUGACUCUGAAACGCGAAAGCAUGGGUAGCAAACAGGAUUAGAAACCCUGGUAGUCCAUGCCAUAAACGAUGUCAACUGGGUGUCGGCGAAGUAAAAUUUGUCGGUGCCGAAGCUAACGCAUUAAGUUGACCGCCUGGGGACUACGAUCGCAAGAUUA